rnacentral:tRNA from 1 species
UGGAUCACCUCCUAACAGGGAGACAACAAAAUGUUUUAUAUUAUUAUUUUGUCACCUUAGGUCGAUCGGUAUCUCACAUCCUCAAUAUUAUUAAGGAUUUCAUUUCCUAAGUUUUUCUAGGUCACACCCAUUUUUCCUGGGCCAUUAGCUCAGGUGGUUAGAGCGCACCCCUGAUAAGGGUGAGGUCCCUGGUUCAAGUCCAGGAUGGCCCAUAUCUCUAUGUUGGGGGUAUAGCUCAGUUGGUAGAGCGCCUGCUUUGCAAGCAGGAUGUCAGCGGUUCGAGUCCGCUUACCUCCACUGAUUACCACCUCUUCCAUAAUCAGUAAGAAGGAAAAAUUUCUGAGUUGUGACCAAAUUCUGAACGAAUCUAGCUUCCUAAUGAAAUCAUUAAGAUGCUGGACUCAUUGAAUUAAUUUCAUUGUUUUCAGAGAACCUUGACAACUGCAUAGAUUAUUUUUUAAAGACAAUAAGCAUCUUUAAUGAUGCAGAUUUAUUAUUUGUGCGAAUGCAUUAAUAACAAUUCUAUUAAGCUGAUGCUUCAAUUUUUGAAGUUAUUGGUCAAGCUACAAAGGGCUCACGGAGGAUACCUAGGCACACAGAGGCGAUGAAGG